rnacentral:misc_RNA from 1 species
AUUAACCUUCGCAAAUGCGAGCUAAAAUGGCUUAAUUAAGCCUCAACUUUUGCUUUGUUUGAGCAAAGUUGGCGAACGUAAAGCAACCUGUGACCUGACUGGGUGACCAAACUAUUGUAACACAAAAAGGUUUGUUUAUUAGCGUUGGCAGUUGCCACGUGCAAGGCCGGAUUCGAGGGCGGGUAUGAUCAUGCCGGGGGAAACAGCA